rnacentral:lncRNA from 1 species
GAGUGAUUCAUUUGGGAGAUGGCGUGGUGUUUCCCUGAUAGUUUAGCAGCAAGAAGCCACUGAUGCUGACACCUCUUUACCUGGCCAUAAGCCUCUGCUUGGUGUGGAACGGGUUAAAUUGCAGCCAGUGACAGUGCAAACUCCAGGGCUGCAAAGCAUUUGUCUGAGCACUGGGACUGUCCUUAUCUUUACAGUGAAAUAUUAUCCCUUCAUGGUUAACAACUAGCAGCAAACCUGCUCAUUGUGGAAGCAGUUUGGCGUAAUUAGCCGGUUAAAGAAGUCUGCCUAUUGAUUAACUGAACUAAAUGACCCAUAAUUAACAGCGCAACUGUGGAGCUAAUCUAUUUGGUGGUGCUUUCCUUCCUCUUAAAGAUUUGGAACCUGCAGGUCUGUUCAUUAUUAGGGGAUGGGUUGGUGAGGAGUCCGCAUCAUCUGGUAAUUGAGUCAGUGUGCCCCGCGGGGCUCUAAAGCACACGCUGAUGCGUUAAAAGAGGCUUGCUGGCGGACUGCUUUUAGUGCUCGGACCGUGGAGAUGUCCUAUGAAAAAUGAUGCUGAAGGGAUGAGUCCAUCUAAGCAUCUGACCAUGAUCCAGGAGGUGGUUGUUGUCAUGAUGGUGGGAAGUGUGGAGCAGCAGGCUGUUCUCUCUGCCCAGCUGCAGGAAGCUGCGGUGCCAUUCACAUCACCUCCCAGCUGCACAUCCCAGCAGUGGCUCACACAUUUGUCUGACUGCAAGCCUGCUAAGCAGCAG